CAGAACGCAGAGGGGGGCGAUCAGGUUUCUCCAAAACCCUAACUCACCCAAAAAUUCACAAAUUGAAGGUCAAGAUCAAUUCCAAAACGAAAUCCGAGCCUAGAUUGGUGAUCUCCAUUGCAAGGGGGUCAUAAGCGUAGGAGCCAUGUCAACAUGGACACGAGCAUGGAAGGGCAAUGGGUCAAAGCUAAAAACGGAAGCUAUGCAUGAACUCGGACGCACGAGGAAUGAGAACGUCAGACUCUUGUAGAAUUGAAGCCGAACCUGGAAGCCGAACUCGAAACAAAGGAAUCCGAGAGGAUAGUCGAAUGAAUCAAAGUUUAUGUUGUUGAAUGUUAUAUGAUUUUUAAUUGUACCAGAUUAUUGUUGUAUGAUGUUGUCAAUGACUAAUGGUUAAGUUGUAUGUGAUGUCCACAGGUACUACACGGAUUUCUUCUACCACUAUCGAAGAUAAGCGGGCAUAUAUCGAGUCGAAUAACAAGGAUUGUACGGAAAGAACGGUUACGUAGUCUUAAUUUUGUAACGCAUUAAUUUGUAAAAAGGGAAGUGAAUUUUGUAAGCUUCUUCUUGAAUGUGUGUAUUGUUUUAAGAUCGUAAAGAAAUUUUU